rnacentral:rRNA from 1 species
GAUGAACGCUGGCGGCGUGCCUAAUACAUGCAAGUCGAGCGAAGCGGGGACGGGUGAGUAACACGUGGAUAACCCCCUAUAAGAAUGGGAUAACCUCGGGAAAACGGAGCUAAACCGGAUACUUACAGAUGGAUACGCGCUGCAUUAGCUAGUUGGUAAGGUAACGGCUUACCAAGGCAACGAUGCAUAGCCGACCGGAGAGGGUAAUCGGCCACACUGGAAUGGAGACACUGUCCAGACUCCUCGGGGAGGCAGCAGUAGGGAAUCUUCCGCAUUGGGCGCAAGCCUGACGGAGCAACGCCGCGUUAUUGAUGAAGGUCUUCGGAUCGUAAAACUCUGUUAUUAGGGAAGCGGUACCUAAUCAGAAAGCCACGGCUAACUUCGUGCCAGCCGCCGCGGUAAUAC